UAGUUCUCCUCAGUCACAGUGUACGACACUGAAGCAUCGAAAGCGUGCUCAAACCAAAUUGUCGUAUCGUACAACCACAACUUCUGUAAAAUUCAUUUAAAAAUUAAGCUCUUCCAAGUGUUUCUAAUCCUGUGCGGUUUAAUUGCAUCCACACUGGCCGUCCCGGGACCUCUGCUGCUAAAGAAAGUGAUUGUCAAACAGCCAAUAUUCGUGAAACCCGCCCCCGUCAUCGUCCAUCGACCGAUUGUGGUGAGAAAAUUCGCCUCCCGUGGUGGAUGGUGGUAAUGCGGAUGGGAAGCUACAGGGCCCAUUGAACUUCUCACACUUCGGUACACCGAUGGAGCAAACAAAUCUUAUUAUCGGUCUCCUGGCUGACUUUUACCAUUCCUAUUGCCGCCACUCUCACAAAUCCUCCUGGUGAAGCAUUCCAAAUCACUGCAUCGAUGACAUGAUCCAAUUAGAAUUGUUACCGUUACCGAAUGAAGGGCGUUUUAUAUGCAUUCGCACAUACCCAGAAAUUGCUUCAAUUAGACGAAAAGCAGUCCACUCAGCAGCAGGGCAAGCGUAAAACUGACGAGAGCGUACAAUAAAUCGAUUAACAGGAAAGUUCCUGGCAAUCCGUUACGGUUACUAUCCUGUUAAACGGCUUGUUGAAGUGUU